UUAGAAAUCCAGGAGGAGGAAAAGGUGUCCUGUGUCCUGAAGCUGUGUGCUGAAGAUGACAGGGGACGAAGGUGGGAAAAGAGCCACAAGAUGGAAGGAACCUGCAUAACCACAUGGAAUAGUGAACUGUUAUGUGAGAGCAGAAUAAAUGCCUUUAUUCUUUAA